ACAUAUAGGAAACCAAUCUGGCUCUCAAAUUAACAGAUGUAUAUUUGAUUAUGGUAGAUGCUAUGUACCCUACUUUAUUCUGUCAGUGCACUCUUUCUAUCCUCAAUUGUACCAAGCCAUUGUCACCCACCUGACCUUAAGCAAUUACCAUUACAUUCACAACACUGAACUAACUACGUAUGGACAUCUCUUUAUCUCUAACUAUGGAGAGAGACACAUGGAAUGAACAACAUUUCUUGACAAUUGGCCUACAUGCAAAAAUGGACUGCCUAUAUUGCAUUAGAGGUAGCAAUUUAGAGACAGUUCUUUUUGCAAUUGCGUCUUUAUGUGGCUCUAUUUCUGCUGCUGCUACUGCCAGUACAUAAUUAGCAUCAAAACUUCCAAGGGAUGUGGAGCACCUAUUGUCAUUCACUGCACCAGCAACUCUAGAAAGCAGCAAAUGCAAGUUGUACCAGAUCAUGAUGGAGGAGGACUGAAAGGUAAUUUUUAUCUGGAGCUGCCCAACUCUGAAAAGCAGCCAAAGGCAGAACUAUGUAAAUAUAAUAGGAUGUAAAUAUUUAAAUAAUACAGCCAGAAAAACAAACUAAACAAUUGCCAACUAUAUUUACAAUAUCUAACGAUCUCCAUAUAUCUAUGUAUCUCUAUAUGUACA